rnacentral:misc_RNA from 1 species
GUGAAUCAUCGAAUUUUUGAACGCAAAUUGCACUCUCUUCGGAGAGUAUGCCUGUUUGAGGGUCAGCCUAUAAAAAAUUGACAUCGUUGCUGUUUUGUGGUGACGUUCGUUGGAAAUUGGGUUAUCUUACUUCCGUUUGGUUUUGAGUGACUUAAAAUUUUUUUUUUGGUUUCAUGAACGUCUCUAAGAUUUAUUUCUUUACAUGUUUCUGGGUAUCGAUUUUUAUUAGACGUGACCAUCAUACCGGUU